CCCUUAGAUGUUCUGGGCUGCACGCGCGCUACACUGACACGAUCAACGAGUAUUCUCCUUGCCCGGUAGGGUUGGGUAAUCUUCUGAAAUCGUGUCGUGCUAGGGAUAGACGAUUGCAAUUAUUCGUCUUCAACGAGGAAUUCCUAGUAAAUGCAAGUCAUCAGCUUGCGUUGAUUACGUCCCUGCCCUUUGUACACACCGCCCGUCGCUCCUACCGAUUGAAUGAUCCGGUGAGCUGUCCGGACUGUGGCUUUAUCAUUACGAUUUUGCCGCGGGAAGUUCUGCAAACCUUAUCAUUUAGAGGAAGGAGAAGUCGUAACA
rnacentral:rRNA from 1 species